AACGAACGCUGGCGGCAUGCCUAACACAUGCAAGUCGAACGAGACCUUCGGGCCUAGUGGCGCACGGGUGCGGAACGCGGGGGAACCUGCCCUUAGGUUCGGAAUAACUCCCUGAAAGGGGUGCUAAUACCGGAUAAUGUCCUCGGACCAAAGAUUUAUCGCCUUUGGAUGGGCCCGCGUUGGAUUAGCUAGUUGGUAGGGUAAAAGCCUACCAAGGCGACGAUCCAUAGCUGGUCUGAGAGGAUGAUCAGCCACACUGGGACUGAGACACGGCCCAGACUCCUACGGGAGGCAGCAGUGGGUAAUAUUGGCCAAUGGGCGAUAGCCUGAUCCAGCAAUGCCGCGUGAGUGAUGAAGGCGUUAGGGUUGUAAAGCUCUUUUACCCGGGAUGUUAAUGACAGUACCGGGAGAAUAAGCUCCGGCUAACUCCGUG
rnacentral:rRNA from 1 species